UACGGGGGGGGCAAGCGUUGUUCGGAAUUACUGGGCGUAAAGGGUGCGUAGGCGGCUUUCUAAGUUGGAUGUGAAAACUAUGGGCUCAACCCAUAGCCUGCAUCCAAAACUGGAGAGCUUGGGUUCUGGAGGGGAAAGCGGAAUUCCUGGUGUAGCGGUGAAAUGCGCAGAUAUCAGGAAGAACACCCGUGGCUAAGGCGGCUCUCUAGUACGGUACUGACGCUGAGACGCGAAAGCGUGGGGAGCGAACAGG
rnacentral:rRNA from 1 species